rnacentral:lncRNA from 12 species
GAGCACUUUGUAAACCUGCUGUAGUUUACUGAAAUCAACGGGAGCUUUGCCACUCAGUUUUAAAACGGAGCCAGCUUCCAGGAUACAGGUUAUGUACAGGAGCCCUUCCUACCCAUGCCUUGGCUUCUGUUCAUCUGCAGCACCAACAGGAAGCUCAGUGUAUUGACAGCUGAGUUUUUGAUCCACCAACAUGUCACCCCAGAAAAACCUGUUGCAGAAUGGGAUUUAAGCUUCCUGAAGCAGCUGUAAGCAGAGCUUUGCUGCACAGCCUGUUAUCAUGAGACUGCCUGGAGCUACAGGAGACUUUUGAUGGUGCCUCUUUGGGAGCAGGGCCGGGAUUACUCAUGAGCAAGGGUUUUAUGGAGAACCUGGCAGAUGUGAGAUCUGUUUUCACACUGGGGCCGCAAAAAUCUCUCCAAACGUUUUCAUGGACAGAUGAGGCAAACUCUGACGGUCUCCUUAGAGACAGGAGAUAAGGCAUGGAUCCAUACCGGCCUCAGCAGUGCAUUGUGCCAAACGCUGCUCUCCAUACGGGGCUGAUGAAAUCCGCAGUCACUGCUGUCAGAGAAGGGAAAAAGAGGGGAAGCAGGAAAAGAAACGUAAAGAAAUCCGCUGGGAAAACUCCGAGCUCUCCGCACGCCCGGCCUGGCCUCCCUCAGGCCCUUCCCGCCGGGGUGCAGCCGGCCCGCGGCUGCCGCGUACUGAGGGCGCUGUGCCCGCCAUGGCCUCCUCACACCCCGCACACCCCUCGGCCGGGGGGGGGGGGGGGGGGGGGGGGGGGGGGGGGGGGGGGGGGGGGGGGGGGGGGGGGGGGGGG